rnacentral:rRNA from 1 species
ACGGCUCAGUAACACGUGGAUAACCUGCCCAAGGGUCUGGGAUAACCCCGGGAAACUGGGGAUAAUACCGGAUGGAUCACUAGUGCUGGAAUGCUUGGUGGUCGAAAGGUAACGCCUUUGGAUGGGUCUGCGGCGGAUUAGGUUGACGCCGGUGUAACGUACCGGCGUGCCUGUAAUCCGUACGGGUUGUGGGAGCAAGAGCCCGGAGAUGGAUUCUGAGACACGAAUCCAGGCCCUACGGGGCGCAGCAGGCGCGAAAACUCUACAAUGCAGGCAACUGCGAUAGGGGGACAUCGAGUGGCAUCCACCUUGGGUGCCUGUCCAACCGUCUAAAAAACGGUUGUUAGCAAGGGCCGGGUAAGACCGGUGCCAGCCGCCGCGGUAAUACCGGCGGCUCGAGUGGUGGCCGAUAUUAUUGAGUCUAAAGGGUCCGUAGCCGGCUUUGCAAGUCCCCUGGGAAAUCCAGCGGCUUAACCGUUGGGCUUUCAUGGGAUACUACAUUGCUUGGGACUGGGAGAGGUAGGAGGUACUCGGGGGGUAGGGGUGAAAUCCUGUAAUCCUCCGGGGACCACCGGUGGCGAAGGCGUCCUACCAGAACAGGUCCGACGGUGAGGGACGAAAGCUAGGGGCACGAACCGGAUUAGAUACCCGGGUAGUCCUAGCCGUAAACGAUGCCCGCUAGGUGUCACGACGGUCGUGAAUCGUCGUGCUGCCGUAGGGAAGCCGCGAAGCGGGCCACUUGGGAAGUACGCCGCAAAGGCUGAAACUUAAGGAAUUGGCGGGGGAGCAC